UUAUUAUUAUUUGUUUAUUUAGCAGACGCCUUUAUCCAAGGCGACUUACAGAGGCUAGGGUGUGUGAACUAUGUAUCAGCUGCAGUGUCACUUACAACUACGUCUCACCCGAAAGACGGAGCACAAGGAGGUUAAGUGACUUGCUCAGGGUCACACAAUGAGUCAGUGGCUGAGGUGGGAUUUGAACCAGGAACCUCUUGGUUACAAGCCCUUUUCUUUAACCACUGGACCACACAGCCUCCUACAGCCUCUCAGCCUCCUACAGCCUCUCCUAUGAAGACUAAUUAUGCGUAAAGGUAAUUCUGUUUAAAACAAUUAAGGACAAAUUUAAAGGUUUUAUUGAAGUAUACUGGUAAUUCUGUAAUGAUUAGGAGUGAAGCCAGAUGUGGCUUUAUUCUGGGGUUUUUGCAUAAAGUAGUAGUAAGUUUUAAAUGACACAUCAGCAUCAGAGACAAUAUGAAUCACGGAUUGAAAAAUGAAAAAUGAGGAACGUAACAUUUCAGGCAUGGAUGUUAUGGGAACAAGAGGCUACACAAUCGAUCCCAGAGCUAGAAUGAGCUACAAAGAUUUCAACUCUGCAGCAACAGAGUGAGUCGGGUGCAUCAGCUGAAAGACAGAAGCAGCAUCAGAGCAACAAGUACACAUGAUGUGGUUUAGAAUAUACGAGUUGGUGUCAGAUCCCUUGGUACAUUAGGAUAUAAUAUGUUUUAUAUUUAUCACAAUUAAUGUUUUACGGAGCUUCUUGUGAGUUUGCUUUUUCAGCCGGUCAAACGCAGUAUUUGCAUACACAGGAGAGGUGAUGAUAACUAGAUUAAUAUGAUGAUUGAACCAUAAAUAAGAUUGGAAAUGAAAUAGGAGUGUUGGUGCAAGGGAUUGACAGGGUAGUAUAGAACAGACGCUGAGUUAAUGGCAGUACCAGGGUGGUAAGCCAAAGGGUCGCCAAAGUGGGGCUAAGCAAUGCUCUAAUUGUGGUCAUAGAGGAUAUUCAAAAGGAACUUGCUGGGCUGAGGGAGGCGAUGCUGAGGGAAAUAGACCCCAGCAGCAGUGUGAAAUGCUAGUGGAUACUGCAGCCAUUUCCACUAACUUGGAAAUGUAACUGGAUUAAUUAAAGAAACUGCUGUGUCUUGAGGAAGGGCCCCUUUCUUGCAAACAUACUGAACUAUGUGACCUACUGAACUAGGUGACUGGGGCAAGGUGGCGCCUGGACUGGAUUAGGCUGAAAGGACAGGAGUUAUGGACAGAUAAUUCACACUUGCAACAACAAGCAUUUUGAUGCAAUAAAGACAUAAACUAGUGAUGUCCCAGUGGAAAAGGACAUUAAAACAUCAAAGGACUGGGAGUUUAAAGAGGCAAGAUACACAAAUUAUCUCACGAAAGUGGAUACUUAACAGAGUGAAAAGACUAUAAAUAUCCAAGCAAAACUACACAUUUUGCACUCCACAUCGAAUGCUAAACAAGGUGCUGUCACUCUACGAAGUGAAGCUGCAACUCCGGGACUCUGCCUGAAAACAGACUCAAGACAGGACUCUGCCUAAAAACAGACCCAAGAGGAGAAAGCAAGCUGCAAGCGAGUCAACGAACACAAGCAAUGAGACUGAGGCCUGGCUGGAGAACUGCCGAAAAACUUACAGAGACUUUUAUAAGACAAACAAGUCUGGGUCUGCUGUAUUUCUAAGUCACAGUAUCCAAAAAGAAACUGUGCCCUGCUACCUGCAUAGCUAAAGAUUCAGCAAAGAGGACAGAGCGGGUGGGCACUGUUGUGGAUCAUAUUUGAGGAUUGAAGACAUUGUUGCAGCUGUUUGUUGAUUCUAUCGAGAAUUGAAACUUUGUUGCCGAGUUUAAUCCGAUUUGAGGAUUGAAGAGUGUUGCUGAGUGGAGAGCCUUUUGUACUGGACACUUCAACAGAUUGAUUUUCCAAACCAAAAGUCUAAGCUUCAAGGAACCGUUGAGUAUAAUUCCAGUUGCAUUUUCCUUUCAUGGAACUAAAUUAAUGAAUUGUAACAUAUUCACAUAGAAUUUAACUAUUAAUUAUUUAGUUUGCACACUUUGAGUGUAAAAUAACUUUUAGUGAAACUUGAUCAAGUAACUAUGAGUAAUCUACCUCAUAUUGUUAUAUGAAGAAUUUCUUUAAAAAGCAAACUUUGCUAUAUUCUGAAUCUAUAUACCAUUAAUGAGCUUAAUGUGAUAUAUUGGAUGUGUAUGUGUGAGCAAGCUACUAGCUACAUGUGACAGAGAAUUAAUCCAAGUCAACAAUUUCCCUCCUGACCUGUGAGGGCGCUGUAUAACAGGAGGAGUGUGCCCUGGACUGGAUGGUUUGGCAGUUCAUUCCAGGGUCAGUCAGAAGUCGGCCAUCCAGAAAGGGGGCGGAGUCACAAUACCAGAAAUCAUCGUCUUAAUGCGGUCGGCGAUGUGUCAGUCAUGGAUUGGAGGAUACGUGAUUGCACUCACUACCAAAGGGGGCGUGACUGAAGGUAUAUCAGGGGAUGUGGCUGAGCGGUCCUUUGUUAUGGUUGUGAAAGACCUGUAAAGGAUGGUAAAAGCUGAAAGUAACUGUGAGUUUUUGUCAUGUUGUAUCUGUCUUUCUAUUAAUUGUCACCCUUACCCGGACUGCACUGCAGUACUGUUUCACUGUUACUGAAUUUUUUUUGAUUAGCUUUACAAUCCGCCACAAUCCGGCCUCCCUGGAAGCCGCAAUCCGACUGGUGGAGGACUUCGAGGACUCCUUGCUCUCCUCUUCGACCAGCCAACUGACCGCUACCUCCCCACCAAGCAGCAGGGGACUGGUUCCACCUCCACCUUUUUUCCUCAUCGCGCUGACGUCCAGACGUCCCAGAUCACCGACCCCAAUGGGCAGCCUAACCUCCUUACCAUGGAGGCGACAGCUGACCCACAGCUGGGGUAGAUUCAAUGCCCCUGACACGCUGCCUUAUCAGCAGAGGGACAGAUAUGUAACCCCAGUGCCUUCUGCCCCUCCUAUCUAUUCCAGGUGCCAUCCCACAGGACGUACCGCCUGGCUGUGCUCCCCAGCAAUAAAGUGCAAUGUGGCAGCAUGUUACCUGACAUCAGAAGCAGGCAAGAGAUGGGGAAAUGGUCGGGAGGAGCCUUGUAUCAUAGAUGUGGUUGUCGGUAAAAAAAACAAAGAAAGCAAGACGGAUUGAAAAAUGUGAAAGUGCAUCAAUGAGACGAAGUUGGGGUCUGGUGGGAGAAAGCUCGGAUGGUAUCAAACACUAAUCACUAAUCACUAAUUGGUACGGAGUGUGACCGAGAGGGCGAGGUUACUGGGCCAUCCAUGCAGAUGUUAUUCCGGCCCCUCUCAAUAUACCGGACAUGUGGGACCGAAGCACGGACCUGGUGUGGGACCAACACAACGACUCCACACUGGUGGACACUUGGGAACAGACUAGAUGGCUAACACAAUCCGGAGCUGUCGCUUAUGGCCAGCACUAAACCCGGACAACACAGCACUAUUGUUCAGGAAUAAAUUGUACUUCACCACAAUCACUGCAGCACUUUGGAUGUGACCAUGUUUGUGUUACUGGAUUAUUGUUUAUUAUUUACAGGACAGCAACCCAUCAUUAUUCACUGCGCAGUACGCAUUGCUAUGUAUUGCCAGCCCUCCUUUUGGUCAUCAGACC